rnacentral:rRNA from 1 species
GACGAACGCUGGCGGCGUGCCUAAUACAUGCAAGUCGAGCGAAGUUUUUCUGGUGCUUGCACUAGAAACACUUAGCGGCGAACGGGUGAGUAACACGUAAAGAACCUGCCUCAUAGACUGGUACAACUAUUGGAAACGAUAUCUAAUACCGGAUAACAGUAUUUCUCGCAUGUGAGAUAUUUAAAAGUUGGUUAUGCUAACACUAUGAGAUGGCUUUGCGGUGCAUUAGCUAGUUGGUGGGGUAAAGGCCCACCAAGGCAACGAUGCAUAGCCGACCUGAGAGGGUGAUCGGCCACACUGGAACUGAGACACGGCCCAGACUCCUACGGGAGGCAGCAGUAGGGAAUCUUCCGCAAUGGGCGAAAGCCUGACGGAGCAACGCCGCGUGAGUGAAGAAGGAUUUCGGUUCGUAAAACUCUGUUGUUAGGGAAGAAUGGAUGUGUAAGAAAUAAAGCUCGAAGAGACGGUACCUAACCAGAAAGCCACGGCUAACUACGUG